UGGCUCCGAUGAGCUCUGGAGAUGGUUCAACUUCCAGAGGCUUCCUCAUAAAUUUUUGGAAUUUUUGAGACACAGAUAAACUUCGGGUGAUCGAGGUCAGCUAUUUUCUGCAUCCAGCAGCCACAAUAGUCAUCGAUGUACUGCCACAGGAGGAGUUAUUUUACAGAGCAACCUGUUUUCUUCCUCGUAGGUUUAACGUCGAUUAUUUAAUUGUUUUACUAUCUUUUCUAAAUUUAAAAUCUAGAACUCCGCAUGUGUUAGUAAUAGUAUGGACCUUGUUAGAAAUGGUGUUAAUUUAAA